rnacentral:rRNA from 1 species
UAUCAAAAACAUGUCCUUUUGUUUAUUAAUUUAAGGUCUAACCUGCCCAAUGAUUUAUUGAAUGGCCGCGGUAUUUUAACCGUGCUAAGGUAGCAUAAUCAUUUGUCUUUUAAUUGAAGGCUGGAAUGAAUGGUUGGACGAAAUAUUGCCUUUCUUUAGCUUAUUAUUAGAAUUUAAUUUUUCAGUCAAAAAGCUGAAAUUCUUUUGGGGGACGAGAAGACCCUAUAGAUCUUUACAUAAUUAUUUAUUGGUUGUUUUAGUGAAUUACAAAAUUAAUAAAAGUUUAUGUUUUGUUGGGGUGACCGUAGAAUUUAAUAAACUUCUAUUAUUUAUUUUCAUUAAUUAGUGUUUAUUUGAUCCACUUUUAGUGAUUAAAAGAUUAAGUUACCUUAGGGAUAACAGCGUAAUUUCUUCGGAGAGUUCUUAUCGAUGAUGAAGUUUGCGACCUCGAUGUUGGAUUAAAAUAAGUAAAUAGUGCAGCAGCUAUUUUACUAGGUCUGUUCGACCUUUGAAUUUUUACAUGAUCUGAG